UGUUUAAAAAGUGUGUAGUAUUGAGUGAGUCUGAAUGAGAGUGUAUAUUGAGUGAUGAAAACAUAAAAUAACCUAGCACAAAACGAUGAGAUAGUUUCAUUGUGUGUGUGUAUGUCCUAGGGUAACCUGGGGAGCACCAAGGCUGAUAUGCAGGAGAGAAUCCUGGAGAUGGAGAGAAAGGUGGAGGAGAUCAGGGUGUCUGUGGAGCAGUGCAAGGCCCACGUGGACAGAGAGAGGAGGGAGAUUGACUCUGUGUUCAAAGCAGUGAUAGCAACUGUAGAGGAGACCCAUCUAGAUGCUCUCAGGCCCAUGGAGGAGAGGCAGCAGGAGGUGGAGAGAGAGGCAGGAGAACUCACCCAGGAGCUGAAGAGAGAGAUCAGAGAACUGAAAGAAACCAUUGGUCAAUUGGAGGAUGUUGCUGACCUCAAGGAUCACAUUCACUUCCUGCAGGUGAGUAAUUUUACUUUGACAUAACCCUUUUAAUAUAUGA
rnacentral:lncRNA from 1 species